UCUCGAUAGCGUAAAAGUUAACACAAUUUUGUAUGGAGUUGGAACGUUCGUCUACGUUUGCCGCUAGAGGACGCUGUUCCAACUGCAUACAAAUUUAAGUUAACUUAUACGCGAUCGA
rnacentral:pre_miRNA from 9 species